rfam:Gossypium hirsutum cultivar TM-1 chromosome 12, whole genome shotgun sequence
UAUUAAAAGUUUCAUCCAUUUUUACUUUUAAAAACUGGCUUAGCUGACAAAAUAACCAAACAGUUACACGUUGUGUGCCACUUGUACCUCCUUUUGACGUACAAGGACCAAUUUUUUGCAGUAGAAAUCAAUAGAAUUUUUAACA